AAUGAACGCUGGCGGCAGGCCUAACACAUGCAAGUCGAACGGAUCCUUCGGGAUUAGUGGCGGACGGGUGAGUAACGCGUGGGAACAUACCCAAAGGUACGGAAUAGCCUCGGGAAACUGGGAGUAAUACCGUAUGUGCUCGAAAGAGGAAAGAUUUAUCGCCUUUGGAUUGGCCCGGGUUGGAUUAGGUAGUUGGUGGGGUAAUGGCCUACCAAGCCGACGAUCCAUAGCUGGUUUGAGAGGAUGAUCAGCCACACUGGGACUGAGACACGGCCCAGACUCGUACGGGAGGCAGCAGUGGGGAAUCUUAGACAAUGGGGGAAACCCUGAUCUAGCCAUGCCGCGUGAUCGAUGAAGGCCUUAGGGUUGUAAAGAUCUUUCAGGUGGGAAGAUAAUGACUGUACCACCAGAAGAAGCCCCGGCUAACUCCGUGCCAGCCGCCGCGGUAA
rnacentral:rRNA from 1 species